UCAGAUGCUCCCUGCAGGCAGCCGUGUGGGUGGGCGGAAGGACAAAGGCCGGGUGCCUGGUCAGGGCUGCCUUCAGCCUUCCUGCUUUUGUGUGUACCACCUGAAAAGCAACUCCCUUUGGGAGACACGAAUGGGAUUCAGCUCCGGCAGCAUUGACUCCUCCAGGAAGCCUUCCUGAUUGCCUCCCCUCCCGCUGGGGGCUCUGACCCUCCAUUCCCAGGACUGCAGGUGCUGGGCCGACCUUGCAGCGGCGACCAACGCUCCACCCUAGAGCCGCGUGGCUGGAGGAAUGAGAUGCCCUAGAGGCUUGAGCCCCAGGUCACCGUGCCUUUGGGUGACCUUGCUCCGGUCACGUGCUUCCUUGAGGAUCAGUUUCCUCACCUGUGUAGCAGGAUAGUUUCUUGAGUCAUGAAUAUCUGUGCCUGUCUGCCCUGUAACCCUCCCCUCUCACCACUUCCCAAGCAGCUCCCCAAGCUGCAAGCAAAAAGCAGCCUGAAGUCAUCUUUGAGUUGAGAGUGAGUAUCCUAGCCUGGGAAGGCCUCCUGCCAGCCCGGAGAUCACAGAAUGUCCCGCAGGUCCACUCCCUUGGAAGCGUCUCCGGAGGCGGUCCAGCCCCGAGCUCCCCCAGCCUCAGCAAGACUCAGUACCGUCUUGGGGUGCACAGGAGCAUGCAGCCUCCAACAGCGGGUCGGGGGAGGCAGGACCCCUAUUAUCUCCAGGGUCGCCCUAAGAUGCCUGGAUUUUGGUGAGGGGUAGAGAGUGGGGGGAAGACGGACCCAGCAACUGGGAUGAAUGCACUGCCACCCACCCAUGUGACAUUGGCCUAAAUUUAAACAGAUCUGAGGAAGACACCAAGAUGCCGUUUCUGGUGGCCCGAGUUUGCAGGCAGGGCUCCUAACCCUUCUCUUUGUGAACCAGGAUAAUAAUAUCCUCCAUUGAGAAUGGAAGUGAGCUUUGUAAACAGUCAAGCAUCAAGCGAACAAGAGAGGCAUGCUCCGGCCUCCUCCAUCCCAGGGCCCAUGGGAAGGGGGUGCGCAGAGCGGGCCCGGCCCACGAUGUUCCCCUCCAGAUGGCAACAGACAACCCAUGAGGCGAUGUAGGAACAGCACAGGGCGGAACAGCCCGUCCGGGACACCCACCUCCCCACCCCCGGCUCACACUGGCCAGAGACCCAGACUGAGAAAUGACUCAGACACGAAAACACCCUCGGCUCAGAGGAAACUCAGCACGGCCAGAGAUUGCAGGUGGCAGCACUCACAGGGAUGGGACUUCCUCCUGUACCCCACCCCUCUACCCAGCCACCACCAGUGGCCUGAAAUGGUGCCACGGACCCCCUCCCAUUUUGAGCACUUGCUGUAUACCAAAUUCUUACAGAUAUGUGUGGACUCUUAAGUGGUCAUGAAGAUUCUUGCUGUCAUAGGAGAAAACCAGGGAUUCUAGGGGUUAACUCCUGUUGAUGUCACCAUCCUUCGCUAUUAUUAGGUAAUCUGGCCAAGCUUACACACUAAUCAAUAUUAGUCCCCGUCACAACCACAACAAUGACUGCUGACCCUUCCGACCCAACUCCCAGCCUUGGGGGUCACAGAAGCACCAUGCUCCAGAAUCCCAGCCUCGCUCCCCCAACGUCCAACGCACCCCCUCGAAGCACGGCCUGUCCCUCUUUUGGGCUGACUUUGCGUGAUGAAGUGACACCCAGCAAAUGACCCAGGCCCACGGCAUUCCAGCUAUUUUCGGCUGCAGUCCCUUUACCUCCAGUAAAGUCUGACACCUGCACCAGACCCCUUCCUUUCCUGGCCGGCCGUCUGAGGGGUCCCUGGUGGCCUCUGGGAAGACAGGAGCUGCAGAGGUCCCUUUCAUUUUCCAGCUGAGGUCCUGGCUCUGGGCCGAUGCUGCCGAGCACCCCACGGUAGGUGGCCGCCCUCUCUGGCUCGAUCACCAGCAUGAAGGCAGAGCCUCUCCUUUGGGACUGCUUGUCACGGAUGCCCCUUGCCUGCCCCCAAGCAAGGACAUCCCUCCUCCUCUGUCCCUCUCCCCUGUCCCCAAGCCCCGUCCCACCUUGAACCUCUGCAGGAUCCAGAUUCCCCCUCCAAGAAUAUCAGAACUAAGACCAGCUCAUCGCGCCAAUCCUCUUACAGUCUAAGCCAGCGCUGUCCCCGGUGGCGGCUGCUGGCCACGUGUGGCAGAUGGAGCACUUGAAAUGUGACAAGUCCAAACUGAGACCCACGCUUGACGUCAAAUACACACCAGCUUUAAGACUUGGUACAAAAGCAGAAUGCAAAAUAUCUCAAUAAUUUUUAUUUUGGUUGCAUGUUGAAAGGAUUAUACUUUAGAUAUGUAGUGUUAAAUAUAUUAUGACAAUAGUAUUAA